rnacentral:sRNA from 1 species
UCCCAGCAACCGACAGAGGCCUCUGUUAAUGCCCAGAGCAGGUACAGCAUGGGCAGCAUCUGUGUGGGCUUCCCAAGUGGCUGGCCAGUGUGCCUCCCCAAUUCUAGCGUGAGAGGAUUAUGAUGCUUCUGUGCUAGGGUGACCAGGCAUCC